rnacentral:sRNA from 1 species
CCUCAAAUCCUGUCUUUCCUCUUGGGUCGUUGAACCCAGACCUUGAACCCAAACGACAGGCCGCCAUGGGAAUCUCGAAGCCGACGCGAAUCAAGUCCCAAAAUCAAGGUGUUCAUUUUGUACAUUGUAACGCUAUCUUUACUCUUUGAGAUCCUUGCUCUAGCAAUCCUUAAAGGUCUGAGGGCCCAGGGCGAGGAGAUGAAGACCUGUGUCGGGAGGGUGCAAGAACUUGUACAAGCCAUAUAGAUGUCCGGCCUCCAAAUCUCGCUACCAGCACCUCAUCUUGCUCCACCUUCGACCUCAGAGCCACCUUGCAAUGUUGAUACCCAGUAGCCUGAUUUAUUAAACCUAGUUCACUUGUAGUUUUUUCUUUUUUGUUCGGACAUCUUGUAUGUACAUUUUCAUAUAUUUUAUAAUUAAAUACUUUUGCUUGGUUA